rnacentral:rRNA from 1 species
AGCGUACACGGUGGAUGCCCUGGCAGUCAGAGGCGAUGAAGGACGUGCUAAUCUGCGAUAAGCGUCGGUGAGGUGAUAUGAACCGUUAUAACCGGCGAUUUCCGAAUGGGGAAACCCAGUGUGUUUCGACACACUAUCAUUAACUGAAUCCAUAGGUUAAUGAGGCGAACCGGGGGAACUGAAACAUCUAAGUACCCCGAGGAAAAGAAAUCAACCGAGAUUCCCCCAGUAGCGGCGAGCGAACGGGGAGCAGCCCAGAGCCUGAAUCAGUGUGUGUGUUAGUGGAAGCGUCUGGAAAGGCGCGCGAUACAGGGUGACAGCCCCGUACACAAAAAUGCACAUGCUGUGAGCUCGAUGAGUAGGGCGGGACACGUGGUAUCCUGUCUGAAUAUGGGGGGACCAUCCUCCAAGGCUAAAUACUCCUGACUGACCGAUAGUGAACCAGUACCGUGAGGGAAAGGCGAAAAGAACCCCGGCGAGGGGAGUGAAAAAGAACCUGAAACCGUGUACGUACAAGCAGUGGGAGCCUCUUUAUGGGGUGACUGCGUACCUUUUGUAUAAUGGGUCAGCGACUUAUAUUCUGUAGCAAGGUUAACCGAAUAGGGGAGCCGAAGGGAAACCGAGUCUUAACUGGGCGUUAAGUUGCAGGGUAUAGACCCGAAACCCGGUGAUCUAGCCAUGGGCAGGUUGAAGGUUGGGUAACACUAACUGGAGGACCGAACCGACUAAUGUUGAAAAAUUAGCGGAUGACUUGUGGCUGGGGGUGAAAGGCCAAUCAAACCGGGAGAUAGCUGGUUCUCCCCGAAAGCUAUUUAGGUAGCGCCUCGUGAAUUCAUCUCCGGGGGUAGAGCACUGUUUCGGCAAGGGGGUCAUCCCGACUUACCAACCCGAUGCAAACUGCGAAUACCGGAGAAUGUUAUCACGGGAGACACACGGCGGGUGCUAACGUCCGUCGUGAAGAGGGAAACAACCCAGACCGCCAGCUAAGGUCCCAAAGUCAUGGUUAAGUGGGAAACGAUGUGGGAAGGCCCAGACAGCCAGGAUGUUGGCUUAGAAGCAGCCAUCAUUUAAAGAAAGCGUAAUAGCUCACUGGUCGAGUCGGCCUGCGCGGAAGAUGUAACGGGGCUAAACCAUGCACCGAAGCUGCGGCAGCGACACUAUGUGUUGUUGGGUAGGGGAGCGUUCUGUAAGCCUGUGAAGGUGUACUGUGAGGUAUGCUGGAGGUAUCAGAAGUGCGAAUGCUGACAUAAGUAACGAUAAAGCGGGUGAAAAGCCCGCUCGCCGGAAGACCAAGGGUUCCUGUCCAACGUUAAUCGGGGCAGGGUGAGUCGACCCCUAAGGCGAGGCCGAAAGGCGUAGUCGAUGGGAAACAGGUUAAUAUUCCUGUACUUGGUGUUACUGCGAAGGGGGGACGGAGAAGGCUAUGUUGGCCGGGCGACGGUUGUCCCGGUUUAAGCGUGUAGGCUGGUUUUCCAGGCAAAUCCGGAAAAUCAAGGCUGAGGCGUGAUGACGAGGCACUACGGUGCUGAAGCAACAAAUGCCCUGCUUCCAGGAAAAGCCUCUAAGCAUCAGGUAACAUCAAAUCGUACCCCAAACCGACACAGGUGGUCAGGUAGAGAAUACCAAGGCGCUUGAGAGAACUCGGGUGAAGGAACUAGGCAAAAUGGUGCCGUAACUUCGGGAGAAGGCACGCUGAUAUGUAGGUGAAGCGACUUGCUCGUGGAGCUGAAAUCAGUCGAAGAUACCAGCUGGCUGCAACUGUUUAUUAAAAACACAGCACUGUGCAAACACGAAAGUGGACGUAUACGGUGUGACGCCUGCCCGGUGCCGGAAGGUUAAUUGAUGGGGUUAGCGGUAACGCGAAGCUCUUGAUCGAAGCCCCGGUAAACGGCGGCCGUAACUAUAACGGUCCUAAGGUAGCGAAAUUCCUUGUCGGGUAAGUUCCGACCUGCACGAAUGGCGUAAUGAUGGCCAGGCUGUCUCCACCCGAGACUCAGUGAAAUUGAACUCGCUGUGAAGAUGCAGUGUACCCGCGGCAAGACGGAAAGACCCCGUGAACCUUUACUAUAGCUUGACACUGAACAUUGAGCCUUGAUGUGUAGGAUAGGUGGGAGGCUUUGAAGUGUGGACGCCAGUCUGCAUGGAGCCGACCUUGAAAUACCACCCUUUAAUGUUUGAUGUUCUAACGUUGGCCCCUGAUCGGGGUUGCGGACAGUGUCUGGUGGGUAGUUUGACUGGGGCGGUCUCCUCCUAAAGAGUAACGGAGGAGCACGAAGGUUGGCUAAUCCUGGUCGGACAUCAGGAGGUUAGUGCAAUGGCAUAAGCCAGCUUGACUGCGAGCGUGACGGCGCGAGCAGGUGCGAAAGCAGGUCAUAGUGAUCCGGUGGUUCUGAAUGGAAGGGCCAUCGCUCAACGGAUAAAAGGUACUCCGGGGAUAACAGGCUGAUACCGCCCAAGAGUUCAUAUCGACGGCGGUGUUUGGCACCUCGAUGUCGGCUCAUCACAUCCUGGGGCUGAAGUAGGUCCCAAGGGUAUGGCUGUUCGCCAUUUAAAGUGGUACGCGAGCUGGGUUUAGAACGUCGUGAGACAGUUCGGUCCCUAUCUGCCGUGGGCGCUGGAGAACUGAGGGGGGCUGCUCCUAGUACGAGAGGACCGGAGUGGACGCAUCACUGGUGUUCGGGUUGUCAUGCCAAUGGCACUGCCCGGUAGCUAAAUGCGGAAGAGAUAAGUGCUGAAAGCAUCUAAGCACGAAACUUGCCCCGAGAUGAGUUCU